rnacentral:rRNA from 1 species
AGGAUGAACGCUGGCGGCGUGCCUAACACAUGCAAGUCGAACGUCCUGUCUCGCAAGAGGCAGGGAGUGGCGGACGGGUGAGUACCACGUGGGUUAUCUACCGUGAGGUGAGGAAUACCGGCGAGAAAUCGCCGACAAGACCGCAUAGCCUCGGUGCAAGCCGAGGAAAGCUUUCUCGAGAGAGGGAGCGCCACACGAGGAGCCUGCGCCCGAUUAGCUAGCUGGUGGAGUAACGGUUCACCAGGGCGACGAUCGGUAGCUGGUCUGAGAGGACGAUCAGCCACACUGGGAUUGAGAACGGCCCAGACUCCUACGGGGGGCAGCAGUGAGGAAUUUUCGUCAAUGGGGCAACCCUGAACGAGCAACGCCGCGUGCAGGAAGAAGGUUUUCGGAUCGUAAACUGCUUUUCUCGGGGAAGAGAACGGACGGUACCCGAGGAAUCAGCCCCGGCUAACUACGUGCCAGCAGCCGC